CUUGUAUUAGUUACUAUAAAAUCUAGAGGCGUUUUUAAAAGAAGUAGAACUUUUUACCUUGAUGUGAUGAAAUUAUGAUUCUCCUUUAUGACUAAUCUUUUAGUGGUUGUGAAGCCCAGAGAUUAUAUGGCAUAGGAAAGCACAAUGGACAGCACACAGCAGCAAUCAAACACACAUCACCAGAAACAAUUUCUCUUCAGUAUAAUAAACAUCAAGCCCUGAUGCUAUGGUGUGGACAAUAAUGGUGAUGUUCUUCAUAAUCCAGGAAACUCUCCCUCCCAACUUCCAAGCCUCUACAGCUUUUCCUGUAGGUCCAUUUUACACCAUCAAAGCUUCACACAGAGGUCCUCAUGGGGCCUGAUUCCUCCUCCUCCUCCUCCUCUUCCUGAUGAAUCUGCUUGUCUGUGUUAUGUUCACAACAUUCACAAGUAGAAGUUGGAUAAAAACCUAAAUAAAAUACUUUCUGCAAAGUUGCA
rnacentral:lncRNA from 1 species